ensembl:lncRNA
CACGCAUUCAUUCAUUCAUUCAUUCAUUCAUUCAUUCAUUCAUUCAUUCAUGUGUGGUAGAGGCACAGUCCUUACCCGGGUGCUGAGGGUAGUCAGACGUCAGGAGAUGGUCUCAGUGAGCGCUCAUUUCCUUUGCUCAGCUCAGCUCACCUCACCAACACACAAUCACUGUCUCCACCAGCGGGUAAAUCCAGUGUCCCGUAUCUCAGACAGAAAAAAACUGUCCUCUUCCGCUUCGGUCAGAGCUGGGUAUUGCAAAAGGUCUUACAGUGAGUAGCCUAGCCUACAGUUUGACAUAGAAAAACAAAACUAAAAAACAAAAUCAGUGGCUAUAUUAUGCCGUUGAGAUGGAGAGAGAAAUCCGUGAGAUGGAUUUGCCCCUAUGCGUUAUUUGGAAUAAAUGUGUGUGCUGGAUGGAUCCGUAGAAGUGCGAACUAUAGCCUACGGUUUUGUUUUGUUUUGUUCCCCAUCUGGGCUCCAAUUUGACAACUGUGACAUUACACAGUGAUGGGUCCCAUCCCUGUCAGUGUAAUAGUUUAAGGACGUGCUCCAUUCCCUUUCUGGAUUAAUGCUGGCUCUAUCCUGUCUGCUGUCAGCUCACCGCUCCAGUCUUACACCCCAGCUACAGCCCCGGAACAAACCCACUGUGUGUGUGUAUACACCUACUGAAAGCAUCAGCAGAACACGCCUGACACUCCUCCACCAGUCAUACAAGGAGAAUGGUCUGAUGCUUCCUAUCAAAAAGAGAGCUGGCCCAAGCAAGCACAGGUUACACGUGAAGCACGAGGACUUACAGUGUGUUGUGAACUUCAUCAUCAACUACGCAGAGGAUAAUGCAGUAGUUUUACCAGGACACCACCCAGGACACAAUCACUUUGGUGGAAAGCUGCUGCCAUCCCAUGUGACAAAAGCAGCAGUGUGGCGUCUCUACAAGGAAUCGAUGACAACACUUGGUACGUAAAGCAUAAGCAAGACAUUUUGAUUAUUUAAUUGACCUCCAACAUGAUUGGCACUACUUUUAUUUAUCUCACAUUAUUUCUGUAUUUUCCAGAGGUACGUGUAGUCGUGCUGUCUUCCUUCAGGAAUCUGUGGAGAAAAUUGCUGCCCCACAUCUCAAGCGCUAAGCCCAGGACAGACCUGUGCUGACAGUGCCAGAGGAACAACUGUCAGGUCUUCAGAUCUUCCAAUCUGCCAGAAGCUGUUAAAUCAGCCAAGCUGAAGAAGCAAGAGCAGCAUCUCCUGCUUGUUCAGAAUGAGUGAUCUGUCUACCAGAAGAUGGUUGCUGACUGCAAGACCACCUGUCAAGACCUGCAGUUGUCUCUGGGGGCCCCUACUGAACCAGCAAGCAAGCGAUAGACAGAUAGAUAGAUAGAUAGAUAGAUAUAUAGAUAUAUAGAUAUAUAGAUAGAUAGAUAGAUAGAUAGAUAGAUAGAUAGAUAGAUAGAUAGAUAGAUAGAUAGAUAGAUAGAUAGAUAGAUAGAUAGAUAGAUAGAUAGAUAGAUAUGGGAAGCAAGCUGUCACGGAUCCUCCAGUACUUUCAUUACGCACACCUGUCCCCUAUUCCCACUGAUUAGUACUUGUAUAAGUGCGCCCUUUGGUUUCCAUUGGGCUGUCCAUUAUUGUUACAAUGUCCAUUAGUGCGUGUGAGUACCUG